AGAAAAAAGAUGUGCAUCUCUUUGAAUACCUCAAAGCCAACCAUUGACGUCUAAUCUUCCACUUUAUGGAUUUCAUACAGUAAACAAAAUGCAAAUGUUUGCUGCAUUCUACAGUACUUUCAGGACUAUGCAGCUGCCACUGAAUCUUUGGAUAGUAUCACGGAUUUUACUCAGAUUACCCCCACAUUGCGUUUUUGUCUUACUCAACCUGGCUUUAUGCUUCAUUUGGAUUCCGAGCGUUCAGAAAUGAUAUAGAGAAAAUAAUGCAUCGUGGGCUAAAAUAUGAAUACCUUCUGAUUGGUAUUUGAGCUACACCAUGAGAAUGAAGCCAAUAGCUGGUCUAUUGUUUCCGGAAAGCUGAUGUUAAAGAAUGCAGAUGGUUCGUCUUUGUGCAGUGUUUUAAGCCGUGGAGAUGCUGCUUUCGUGCUUUGAGCUGCCCUCCUUUCUCAAAGAAAAUGGCGAGCUCUAUCUCUAACGACUUUUAAAGAGUGCAAUUAGCACUGCCGACGAAAAAGUCUCGGAAGCGGAGAAAACGGACCUCCUAAUUUACUGGAUUGCGGAUUUCUACAUUUUGAAGACGAGUCACUAGAACUCCAUACUGACCAAGAGACAAGGUCAUCAUGGCGAACACUCAAACUGAUUAACAACGGCAGCCAAGAAAAAAUACCCAAGAAGGACGACUGACUCUACCACAUCACCCAGAGAACACUCCAACUCUUCUUGUCUCAGCCCUUCAAGGCUGGAUAUUUCCCAGAAGGUGGUAUCAGAUACUAGAGUAACAGUAGGAAGCACAGUGCUCCUGAAUCCCUACCGAAGUGCUAAAGCCAAAGAAUAUUGCUUGUUACAAUUAAAAGGGGUCAUCAGGGUGGUAUCCAAACCUUUCUUUGACUCUUCAACUUGUAUGCCUAUCCGGCCACUCAUACACACCACUGCCUCAUGAAUCUGGGUUUGAACUCCACUCCUGCUUGCUCUCUGUGUGGAGUCUGCUGUUCUCCCUGUUUCUGUGGUUACUCGGUUUUCCUUUUACAUCUCCUUAUGCAUGUUAGGUUAAUAUGUAAACUAUAAAAAGUACAUUGUCCCUGUGAAAGUGUAAACAUGUAAGGCCUGCAAUGGAGGUGCCCCCCUUUCAUUUCUAAUGUCUGCCUUGUGUCUGACGCUGCCAGGACAGGCUCGAUGCUGACCCUAAACUAAAUUAAACAGGUUUAAGAAUAUUAUGCUGUCAUGUAAUGAUAACAACUAACAAAUUAAAAAUUAGAACGGUUAUUCUUUACUAUACAAGCCUUUAGUGCAAAUGUAUGUUAAGGUACUUAUCAUAAAUUUGCUUAGACAAAUUAGCAGAGCCAGGUCUGAUCAGAAUUUCUUUUAUUAGACUUUUUCAGCGUAACAGUAAAACACUAGUGUUUAUAUCAAGUAUUGUCUCACCCUUUAAAUCUUCUCAUUCAGAUUUUAUCUCUUUUGAUUUAGUCUUUUAUAAAGCAUUGGUAUUGCCUUUUUGUUUUUCUUAAAAUAUUCUAAGGAUCAGCGAAAUGGAAAGAUAAAUAUGGAGAUACAUGUAGCAACACAUCAUGUGUGAGACUGGUUUUAUUAAGUUCUGUAAUACAUAUUCUAAAAGGGAGUAUCAGGGAAGUAUGUAAGGAUAGUUCAGGUUAUGUAUGAGGGAGACUACACAAAUGUGAAAAAUAGUGUAAGAAUCACAGACAGGUUUGCAGU